rnacentral:rRNA from 1 species
GACGAACGCUGGCGGCGUGCUUAACACAUGCAAGUCGAGCGGAAAGGCCCUUUCGGGGGUACUCGAGCGGCGAACGGGUGAGUAACACGUGAGUAAUCUGCCCUUCACUCUGGGAUAGCCACCGGAAACGGUGAUUAAUACCGGAUACGACCAAUACCUGCAUGGGGUGUUGGUGGAAACUUUUUGGGUGGGGGAUGUGCUCGCGGCCUAUCAGAUUGUUGGUGGGGUAAGGGCCUACCAAGGCUUCGACGGGUAGCCGGCCUGAAAGGGUGACCGGCCACACUGGGACUGAGACACGGCCCAGACUCCUACGGGAGGCAGCAGUGGGGAAUAUUGGACAAUGGGCGGAAGCCUGAUCCAGCAACGCCGCGUGAGGGAUGACGGCCUUCGGGUUGUAAACCUCUUUCAGCACCGACGAAGCGAUCCUUUGGGGAGUGACGGUAGGUGCAGAAGAAGGACCGGCCAACUACGUGCCAGCCGCCGCUGUAACAC